rnacentral:lncRNA from 1 species
GAGGCAAUUUAGCUGUGAUCAAUUUGGGAUAAACAAAGCAGGAAACUGCCUCCUUAUAUUCCUAGUAAUUCUUUCUGCUUUUCCAAACAUUGUUAGGUUCUAUGCAUCUUGUGCUAUUUAAGUAAAGAUGAUGUUAGUAAUCAAAUUUCAGAAUCUAAUCAAGUGACUAUUUUUGCUUUAUUACAAAAUUUAUGUAUUCUAUUGGGUGGUUGAACCACUUAGUUGCUUGAAUGCUGAAUUUUUCUUUUUUUAGAUAGAGUGAUAUUUAAUGAAGUGCUUAUAAAGAUAAAUAUCAUGUUUAUCAAAGAUCACAUAGUCAUAGUAACGAAGUAGCAUUUGUGCCUGUGUGGUAUAGACUGUGUGCUUUGUAAAUUAUGCUGCUUUUAAAAUCAUGACCUAGAAAUUUAUAAUGGGGACAUGUGAGAAGAGAAACUCAAGUCCUCAAUUUACACAGCCAAGAACACACACUCAGGUUAGAGAAAUUGCUCUCAGAAGCAUUCUUACCAUUUACUUAUCCUUGCAAUAUUUCUACUGGCUGUUUUUUUUUUUUUUUUUAACUAGAAAGUUAUAGAAUUAGGAGUGACUUCUGUAAUUCACUGGACUUUUCUCUGCUGAAACAUGUUAAUGUUGUAUUCAUAUAGCCACCUUAUGAUCAAAAAGUUUGGUCAGAUGUCUCUGUAUUAUUUUUUCUCCUGUUGUUAAGUAGCUCAAUAUUUCAAAAUAACUGGAUCACACAUUUUUUUCUCAUUGCCUUGGAUGCUAGAUAACCUCGGAUCAUCUGAGUAAAUAGUAAGCUGUAUUACUUUUUACUACAUUGUUAUUUAUGCUCUGCUUAGUGUCAGAAAGAAUUUAAAACAGUUGUUUCAAGAGUUGGUACAAUUGGGGGGCCAGGUUGUGGCUCAGUGAUAGAGCGUUUGCCUAGUAUGUGUCAGGCACUGGGUUCAAUCCUCGGCACCACAUAGAAACAAACGAAUAAAAUAAAGAUAUUGUGUCCAUCUACAUUAAAAAAUAUAUUUUAAAAAAUUGGUACAAUUGGGGCUGUGUUGUGGCUCAGUGGUAGAGUGCUUGCCUAUCACACGUGAGGCACUGGUUCGAACCUCAGUACCACAUAAAAAUGGAAUAAAGAUAUUGUAUCCACCUAUAACUAAAAAUAAAUAUUAAAAAAGAAUUGGUAUGAUGAAUUUUUAAAAAUCUCUUUGUAAGAAUAAUUCCUGUAAAUAUAAUUGUAAUUUACUUUUGAUGUUUAGAAAAAGAUCAGUGAUUUGUUCUGGUAAAUAUUUUAAUCCCAAGAGGAAACAAGAUC